rnacentral:rRNA from 1 species
GGUCCCCUACGGGACGCAGCAGUGAGGAAUAUUGGUCAAUGGGCGCAAGCCUGAACCAGCCACGUCGCGUGAGGGAUGACGGUCCUAUGGAUUGUAAACCUCUUUUGUCGGGGAGCAAGGCCCGCCACGUGUGGCGGGAAGGAGAGUACCCGAAGAAAAAGCAUCGGCUAACUCCGUGCCAGCAGCCGCGGUAAUACGGAGGAUGCGAGCGUUAUCCGGAUUUAUUGGGUUUUAAGGGUGCGUAGGCGGAAGGGUCAGUCAGCGGUCAAAUGUCGGUG